AUUGAACGCUGGCGGCAGGCCUAACACAUGCAAGUCGAGCGGUAGAGAGAAGCUUGCUUCUCUUGAGAGCGGCGGACGGGUGAGUAAUGCCUAGGAAUCUGCCUGGUAGUGGGGGAUAACGUUCGGAAACGGACGCUAAUACCGCAUACGUCCUACGGGAGAAAGCAGGGGACCUUCGGGCCUUGCGCUAUCAGAUGAGCCUAGGUCGGAUUAGCUAGUUGGUGGGGUAAUGGCUCACCAAGGCGACGAUCCGUAACUGGUCUGAGAGGAUGAUCAGUCACACUCGAACUGAGACACGGUCCAGACUCCUACGGGAGGCAGCAGUGGGGAAUAUUGGACAAUGGGCGAAAGCCUGAUCCAGCCAUGCCGCGUGUGUGAAGAAGGUCUUCGGAUUGUAAAGCACUUUAAGUUGGGAGGAAGGGCAGUAAAUUAAUACUUUGCUGUUUUGACGUUACCGACAGAAUAAGCACCGGCUAACUCUGUGCCAGCCGCCGCGGUAA
rnacentral:rRNA from 1 species